AAGUCGUAACAAGGUUUCCGUAGGUGAACCUGCGGAAGGAUCAUUAACACGUGAUCUCACGUCAAACCAAUCGCGCACUUGUGUUCGGAAGGAUAUGUUGGUAAUGGUCGAUUUAGGGGUACUGGAGUGGGUUAGUACCGUUAACUUAAACCGAUCGCUCAUUCCCUCACGGGGAUGGGGCCUCUUAUCUGGAUGACUUAAAAAACUCACUAAAACUUUAACUUUAACCCUUUUAACCCCUUUCUAUUAACCAUUAUACUGAUUCAUAUCUCUAGUCGAAAGACUUUAGAUAAGUUAUACGUUAACCACGUACAACUCUUAGCAGUGGAUGUCUUGGCUUCC
rnacentral:misc_RNA from 1 species